AUGAACGCUGGCGGCGUGCCUAAUACAUGCAAGUCGAGCGAACAGACGAGGAGCUUGCUCCUCUGACGUUAGCGGCGGACGGGUGAGUAACACGUGGAUAACCUACCUAUAAGACUGGGAUAACUUCGGGAAACCGGAGCUAAUACCGGAUAAUAUAUUGAACCGCAUGGUUCAAUAGUGAAAGACGGUUUUGCUGUCACUUAUAGAUGGAUCCGCGCCGCAUUAGCUAGUUGGUAAGGUAACGGCUUACCAAGGCAACGAUGCGUAGCCGACCUGAGAGGGUGAUCGGCCACACUGGAACUGAGACACGGUCCAGACUCCUACGGGAGGCAGCAGUAGGGAAUCUUCCGCAAUGGGCGAAAGCUUGACGGAGCAACGCCGCGUGAGUGAUGAAGGUCUUCGGAUCGUAAAACGCUGUUAUUAGGGAAGAACAAAUGUGUAAGUAACUAUGCACGUCUUGACGGUACCUAAGCAGAAAGCCACGGCUAACUACGG
rnacentral:rRNA from 1 species